AUGAACGCUGGUGGCGUGCCUAAUACAUGCAAGUCGAGCGAACAGACGAGGAGCUUGCUCCUCUGACGUUAGCGGCGGACGGGUGAGUAACACGUGGAUAACCUACCUAUAAGACUGGGAUAACUUCGGGAAACCGGAGCUAAUACCGGAUAAUAUAUUGAACCGCAUGGUUCAAUAGUGAAAGACGGUUUUGCUGUCACUUAUAGAUGGAUCCGCGCCGCAUUAGCUAGUUGGUAAGGUAACGGCUUACCAAGGCGACGAUGCGUAGCCGACCUGAGAGGGUGAUCGGCCACACUGGAACUGAGACACGGUCCAGACUCCUACGGGAGGCAGCAGUAGGGAAUCUUCCGCAAUGGGCGAAAGCCUGACGGAGCAACGCCGCGUGAGUGAUGAAGGUCUUCGGAUCGUAAAACUCUGUUAUUAGGGAAGAACAAAUGUGUAAGUAACUAUGCACGUCUUGACGGUACCUAAUCAGAAAGCCACGGCUAACUACGUG
rnacentral:rRNA from 1 species